rnacentral:rRNA from 1 species
ACCUGAUUGAUUCUGCCAGUAGCAUACGCUUGUCUCAAAG